AUUGAACGCUGGCGGCAGGCCUAACACAUGCAAGUCGAGCGGCGAGGCGGACGGGUGAGUAAUGCCUAGGAAUUUGCCUGGUAGUGGGGGAUAAAGUCCGGAAACGGGCGCUACUACCGCAUACGAGCAGAUGAGCUUAGGUCGGAUUAGCUAGGUGGUGGGGUAAAGGCCUACCAAGGCGACGAUGCGGAACGGGUCUGAGAGGGUGAUCCGUCACACUGGAACUGAGACACGGUCCAGACUCCUACGGGAGGCAGCAGUGGGGAAUAUUGGACAAUGGGCGAAAGCCUGAUCCAGCCAUGCCGCGUGUGUGAAGAAGGUCUUCGGAUUGUAAAGCACUUUAAGUUGGGAGGCGUUACCAACAGAAUAAGCACCGGCUAACUUCGUGCCAGCAGCCGCGGUAAUUC
rnacentral:rRNA from 1 species